rnacentral:rRNA from 1 species
UACGUAGGGUGCGAGCGUUGUCCGGAAUUACUGGGCGUAAAGAGUGUGUAGGCGGUGCUCUAAGUUCGGUGUGAAAUCUCCUGGCUUAACUGGGAGGGUGCGCCGGAAACUGGAGUGCUUGAGCGUGGGAGAGGAAAGCGGAAUUCCUGGUGUAGCGGUGAAAUGCGUAGAUAUCAGGAGGAACACCUGUGGUGUAGACGGCUUUCUGGACCAUAGCUGACGCUGAGACACGAAAGCGUGGGUAGCAAACAGG